rnacentral:rRNA from 1 species
GAGUUUGAUCCUGGCUCAGAACGAACGCUGGCGGCGUGCCUAACACAUGCAAGUCGAACGUGAUCCAGAGCUUGCUCUGGUGAAAGUAGCGCACGGGUGAGUAACGCGUGGAUAACCUACCCUGGUAUCCGGGAUAACAUUCCGAAAGGGGUGCUAAUACCGGAUAAGCCCACGGGCUCUUUGGAGCUUGCGGGAAAAGGUGGCCUCUAUUUAUAAGCUACUGUAUCAGGAUGGGUCCGCGUACCAUUAGCUAGUUGGCGGUGUAACGGACCACCAAGGCGACSAUGGUUAGCUGGUCUGAGAGGAUGAUCAGCCACACUGGAACUGAGACACGGUCCAGACUCCUACGGGAGGCAGCAGUGGGGAAUUUUGCGCAAUGGGGGAAACCCUGACGCAGCAACGCCGCGUGAGUGAUGAAGGCCUUUGGGUCGUAAAGCUCUGUCAGAGGGGAAGAAAUGAUAUAGUGCUAAUACCACUUUAUCUUGACGGUACCCUCAAAGGAAGCACCGGCUAACUCCGUGCCAGCAGCCGCGGUAAUAC